AACUUUUGACAAGGGAUCACUUGGCUCUCGCAUCGAUGAAGAACGCAGCGAAAUGCGAUAAGUAAUGUGAAUUGCAGAAUUCAGUGAAUCAUCGAAUCUUUGAACGCAUCUUGCGCUCCUUGGUAUUCCGAGGAGCAUGCCUGUUUGAGUGGCAUUUAACUUCUCAACCACACAUCUCAUGAUGGCUCGUGGCUUGGAUGUGGGGGUUGUUUGCAGGCUUUCUGUGAAUGAAGGUCGGCUCCCCUGAAAUGUAUUAGUGGUAUCUGAGGCUACUACUAUAGGUGUGAUAAUUAUCUAUGCCUUUGGUAUGCCGCAUGAACAGAUUACACUGCUUCUAACAAAACAACGAUGUUGAUAAAUUUGACCUCAAAUCAGGUAGGACUACCCGCUGAACUUAAGCAUAUCAAUAGGCGGAGGCU
rnacentral:misc_RNA from 1 species